ACUGAUGGCGGGGUGACCACAUACCUGCUGAGCGGUCGGGCCCAUCAGGGCCCGGGGGAUGGUGGUGGUGGACGGGUUGUGGGAGCCGUGAUGAUGGCUGUGGAAUGCGGGAUGGCC
rnacentral:miRNA from 1 species